CGGACGGGUGAGUAACGCGUGAGAAUCUGCCAAAAGGACUGGGACAACCACUGGAAACGGUGGCUAAUACCAGAUGUGCCGCAACGUAAAAGAGGAAACUCGCCUUUUGAGGAGCUCGCGUCUGAUUAGCUAGUUGGUGAGGUAAAAGCUCACCAAGGCAACGAUCAGUAGCUGGUCUGAGAGGACGACCAGCCACACUGGGACUGAGACACGGCCCAGACUCCUACGGGAGGCAGCAGUGGGGAAUUUUCCGCAAUGGGCGAAAGCCUGACGGAGCCAGACCGCGUGGGGGACGAAGGCUCUUGGGUUGUAAACCCCUUUUCUCAGGGAAGAAAAAAAUGACGGUACCUGAGGAAUAAGCAUCGGCUAACUCCGUGCCAGCAGCCGCGGUAAGGCGGAGGAUGCAAGCGUUAUCCGGAAUUAUUGGGCGUAAAGCGUCCGUAGAUGGUUUUGCCAGUCGGCUGUCAAAGCACAGGGCUUAACCCUGUAAAGGCAGUGGAAACUACAAGACUAGAGUGCAGUAGGGGCAGAGGGAAUUCCCAGUGUAGCGGUGAAAUGCGUAGAGAUCGGGAAGAACAUCGGUGGCGAAAGCGCUCUACUGGACUGCAACUGACACUCAGGGACGAAAGCUAGGGGAGCGAAUGGGAUUAGAUACCCCAGUAGUC
rnacentral:rRNA from 1 species